UACGGGGGGGGCAAGCGUUGUUCGGAAUUACUGGGCGUAAAGGGCUCGUAGGCGGCCAACUAAGUCAUACGUGAAAUCCCUCGGCUUAACCGGGGAACUGCGUCUGAUACUGGAUGGCUUGAGUUCGGGAGAGGGAUGCGGAAUUCCAGGUGUAGCGGUGAAAUGCGUAGAUAUCUGGAGGAACACCGGUGGCGAAGGCGGCAUCCUGGACCGAGAUUGACGCUGAUGCGCGAAAGCCAGGGGAGCAAACGGG
rnacentral:rRNA from 1 species